rnacentral:rRNA from 1 species
UACGUAGGGUGCGAGCGUUAAUCGGAAUUACUGGGCGUAAAGCGUGCGCAGGCGGUCUGUUAAGACCGAUGUGAAAUCCCCGGGCUUAACCUGGGAACUGCAUUGGUGACUGGCAGGCUUUGAGUGUGGCAGAGGGGGGUGGAAUUCCACGUGUAGCAGUGAAAUGCGUAGAUAUGUGGAGGAACACCGAUGGCGAAGGCAGCCCCCUGGGUUAACACUGACGCUCAUGCACGAAAGCGUGGGGAGCAAACAGU